ACUCUCAAGAAUCAGAUCGAAGAAGCGAUGAUCGCCUUCUAACCUCAAACCAAAACGAAACACAGAUAACCAUGCAGAGCAUCUAACUCGCAAACCCCCCCUUAAACCUUCCUCAAAACCCCCCAAUUUACUGACAGCACCAGAAGUUCCCCUAUACUACCAGCGGUUCCAUUGAAAUGUUAACUAAUCCCACUCGUGAAAACCAGAAACCCUAAGUAUGCCAAACCACAACCAGCGAGGAGCACACAAUAUUCCUGAUCAGUCGUGCCGAAGCUGAGGAAAGACAAAAGAUAGUAUAGAGGUGAUCGGAAGAAAGAUAGUAUAGAGGUUAAGUGAACGGAAGAACGGAGAAAUGGGGGAGGAAAGAGUUGAGAUGAGAUUGAAGAAGAGAGAAGUGAUUGGAAUUGGGGAAAUCCAACUUACAGAGCAAGAAAUUAGAUUGAAUUGCGGGAGUCCUGCUGACACUGGAUCCAGUGGAAUCUGCUCCUGGAGACGGCGAGGCCGGGCGGCGGCGACGCGGUCAGGGACGGCGGAGGUUGGUGGCGGUGGUGAGGCUUGGCGGUCUAUGUUGUUAAGGAGAGCGCAACAAAGACAAAGGGACAGAUGCACGAAGCUGAGCUAAUUGUUUAACUUUUGGGGAAAAUAUUAAUACAAUAUAUUUGGCAUUUGC
rnacentral:lncRNA from 1 species